CAUUAAGACUCUCGGCAACGGAUAUCUCGGCUCUUACAUCGAUGAAGAACGUAGCGAAAUGCGAUACUUGGUGUGAAUUGCAGAAUCCCGUGAACCAUCGAGUCUUUGAACGCAAGUUGCGCCCGAGGCCUUCGGGCCGAGGGCACGCCUGCCUGGGCGUCACGC
rnacentral:rRNA from 1 species